rnacentral:rRNA from 1 species
UGGGGAAUAUUGGACAAUGGGGGGAACCCUGAUCCAGCGACGCCGCGUGAGUGAAGAAGUAUUUCGGUAUGUAAAGCUCUAUCAGCAGGGAAGAAAAUGACGGUACCUGACUAAGAAGCCCCGGCUAACUACGUGCCAGCAGCCGCGGUAAUACGUAGGGGGCAAGCGUUAUCCGGAUUUACUGGGUGUAAAGGGAGCGCAGACGGUUUUGCAAGUCUGAAGUGAAAGCCCGAGGCUUAACCUCGGAGUUGCUUUGGAAACUGUAUAACUAGAGUAUCGGAGAUGUAAGUGGAAUUCCUAGUGUAGCGGUGAAAUGCGUAGAUAUUAGGAGGAACACCAGUAGCGAAGGCGGCUUUCUGGACUGCAACUGACACUGAGGCACGAAAGCGUGGGUAGCAAACAGG